rnacentral:lncRNA from 1 species
CUGGCACACACUGUCUCUCACAUGAAGAUAAGUAGUACUAGAUGCCGUAGACAUAAGAUUGCCACAGACACAUAACGCCACUCGUGAGGGAUAACUAAUCAGACCCUCGAAAUGCCUCUCGCAUGAAGAUGAGAAGUGUUAGAUACUGUAGGCACAAGAUCGCCGCAGGCAUAUAAUGCCACUCGUGAGAGAUAACUAAUCAAGCCUCAAAAUACCAUCGAGAGUGUAAAAUACUAUAGGCACAAGCUCGCCGCUGACACACACUACCUCUCGCAUGAAGAUGAGAAGUGCUAGAUGCCGUAGGUACAAGAUCGCCACAGGCGCACAACGCUACUCGUGAGAGAUAACUAAUCAUACCUUUGAAAUGCCAUCAAGAGUGCAAGAUAUCAUUGGCACAAGCUCGCCGCUGGCAUACACUGCCUCUCAUGCGAAGAUGAAAAGUACUAGAUACCGUAGGCACAAGAUCACCAUAAGCAAACAAUGCCACUCGUAAGAGAUAACUAAUCAGACCCUCAGAGCGUUGCUGAAGAGCCCUUGAUGCCAUAGGCACAAGAUCACCAUCGAUACAUAUUACCUCUUCAGAAGAAGAAUAAAAAGAUGAACAACAUAUGAUCAGAGACAUUAUUUCAACAGUACUCCUUCUGCUUAAGGCAUUAUCUCAAACUCAUGAAUAGGAGGUAGUGUUGAAGUGAUUAUUAUGAUACCUCAGAUCCAUAAAUGGCCAGACUAUAGUUAAAUUAUUCUAAACUGCUCUAAAUAUGUUCAUUUUAAUCGAAGUUGUCCUAAAUAUAUUUAUACUAAAGCUGAACUAUCUAGAAUCUUACUCAUACUGAGCUGAACGCUGAGCACUUCCUCAUGCUGAUCUGAGCUAUUCGAAAUUUUACUCGUGCUAAGCUAAGCACUGCGCAUUUCUCUAUGCUAAUUUGAGCUAUUCGAAACCUUACUAAUGCUGAACUGAGCAUUAAGUAUUUUUUUAUGCUGAUCUGAGCGAUGCUGAGCUGAGCACUGAGCAUUUCCUUAUGCUGAUUUGAACUAUUCGGAUCCUUAUGUCAAGCUGAGUACUGAGUAUUUUUUUAUGCUAAUCUGAGCUAUUGAAACCUUACUAGUGCCAAGCUGAGCAUUGAGCAUUUUCUAAUGCUGAUCUGAGCUAUUCGGAUCCUUACUUGUGCUGAGCUAAGCACUGAGUAUUUUCUUAUGCUGAUCUGAGCUAUUUGGAUCCUUACUUAUAUCGAGUUGACCACUGAGCAUUUUCUUAUACUUAUCUGAGCUAUUCGAAACUUACUCAUACUGAGCUGAGCACUGAGCAUUUUCUUAUAUUGAUCUGAGCUAUUCAAAUUCUUACUUGUGCUGAGCUGAGCAGUGAGCAUUUUCUCAUGCUGAUCUGAACAUCUACUUGUGCUAUUCUCUAUGAGCCAAGCAAAAUUUAUAAAAUUCACAGAUACAAAUUUAGAUCUGAGACACUUUUGGAGUACUCUUUUAAUCUGAUUCUCAGACUCAGGAGUAGAGAGUGUUACGGUAGUUAUCGUGAGCACCUCAGAUCAACACUAUAUCACAAGAUAUUUCAAAUUCUCAGGUCAUCAACACGAUCGUUAACCAUCGUAUGAGCUGAGAAAUCCAUCUCCAUGCUAAGCUGAGGCAUCCGCAAGAUCUAACCUGUGUAUGAGCUGCCCUCGUCACCUCAGCCGACUUAUCUCUUCAACGUGCAUGACAGUUAUCUAUCUCGAAUAGAUAGGAUCUGGCAUAACCAUCUCCCCCGAUCUCACGGGAGUGAUUAAGGGCUAAAUUAUCUCACUCAAUUUGACAUGUCCAACGAUCCGACAAUCUCAGGAUCAUACGAUCUCUCAGCUAACAAUCCAGCUGUCCGACAUCCUUCUAUAUAAACAACUGGAGCUCCGAGGAUCUAGGUAAGUCCAAUCAAAUCUCUCUCAGAGAACCUGUUGCUACUCCUUUGUUCUCUAUUUUUCUGACUUGAGCGUCGGAGAAUCCUCACCGGAGUCACAACCUCUGAUUUAAAAUUUAUCUUGCAGGUCACUCCAGCACCAGCAUUCCUAUACGAGGACCAGGCAUCCAUCUUUCAACCUCGAUCGAUUUCAACAGCA